rnacentral:rRNA from 1 species
UACGUAGGGGCCGAGCGUUGUCCGGAGUUAUUGGGCGUAAAGCGCGCGCAGGCGGCCUCGCGCGCCCGACGUGAAAGCCCCCGGCUUAACCGGGGAGGGUCGUUGGGGACGGCGGGGCUUGAGGGCGGGAGAGGUCGGUGGAAUUCCCGGUGUAGUGGUGAAAUGCGUAGAGAUCGGGAGGAACACCUGUGGCGAAGGCGGCCGACUGGGCCGACCCUGACGCUGAGGCGCGAAAGCGUGGGGAGUAAACAGG